UCCAGCACCCUUAUCCCCCACACCACCUGCUGGCCGCCAAACUCCUCUUUUGGAACUGCAGUUCCUAGCCUUUUUUGACACAAGGGACGGCUUUUGAGGAAGACAAUUUUUCCAGAGGAUGGGGUGGGGGGUGAGGAUGAUUUGGGGGUGAUUCUAGAACAUUACCUUUAUUGUGCAUUUUUCCUAUUGUUAUAUCAUAAUAUAUAAUGAAAUAAUUAUACAACCCACUAUGAUGCAGCAUCGGCAGCCACUCCCCUUCACUAACAUUACCACCUCAGAUCAUCAGGCAUUAGAUUCUCAUAAAAUGUAGCAAUCUAGAUCCCUCAAAUGCUGGGUUCACAGCUGGGUUCACAAUAGGGUUCGUGCUCUUGUGAGAGUCUAAUGCUUCUCCUGAUCUGAGAGGUGGCGGCGCUUAGGAGAAACGGGGCCCUCCCUCCUCCGUCUGCUCCGUAGUCAUUAACCUCUCUGCCCCUUCCGCACGCCCCAUCUCCUGAGCUAGAGCGAGCACAACACUCUCUGCCCAUCACGGGCCUAGCACGAAGCCUGAUAGAGGAGUUUUAAGCCGCAAGAAAUCUCCGGUACCCGGGUUUGCUGCCCCAACUGGGAAAGCCUUACAGCCGGUUACGAGGAAAAAGGUGACG